AACGAACGCUGGCGGCAUGCCUAACACAUGCAAGUCGAACGAAGGCUUCGGCCUUAGUGGCGCACGGGUGCGUAACGCGUGGGAAUCUGCCCUUGGGUUCGGAAUAACAGCGAGAAAUUGCUGCUAAUACCGGAUGAUGACUUCGGUCCAAAGAUUUAUCGCCCAGGGAUGAGCCCGCGUAAGAUUAGGUAGUUGGUGGGGUAAUGGCCUACCAAGCCGACGAUCUUUAGCUGGUCUGAGAGGAUGAUCAGCCACACUGGGACUGAGACACGGCCCAGACUCCUACGGGAGGCAGCAGUGGGGAAUAUUGGACAAUGGGCGAAAGCCUGAUCCAGCAAUGCCGCGUGAGUGAUGAAGGCCUUAGGGUUGUAAAGCUCUUUCACCGGGGAAGAUAAUGACGGUACCCGCAGAAGAAGCCCCGGCUAACUUCGUGCCAGCCGCCGCCGUAACAC
rnacentral:rRNA from 1 species